CCUACGGGUGGCUGCAGUAAGGAAUAUUGGGCAAUGGAGGCAACUCUGACCCAGCCAUGCCGCGUAAAGGAUGACGGCCCUAUGGGUUGUAAACUUCUUUUAUACGGGAAUAAACCCGGGUACGUGUACCCGGCUGAAUGUACCGUAAGAAUAAGGAUCGGCUAACUCCGUGCCAGCAGCCGCGGUAAUACGGAGGAUCCAGGCGUUAUCCGGUUUAAUUGGGUUUAAGGGGUGCGUAGACGGCAGUGGUGAAAUCCUACAGCUUAACUGUAGAAGUGCCGUUGAUACUGCAAGGCUUGAGUACGGUUGAUGUGGGCGGAAUGUGUGAUGUAGCGGUGAAAUGCUUAGAUAUGACACGGAACACCAAUUGCGAAGGCAGCUCACAAAACUGUAACUGACGCUGAGGCACGAAAGCGUGGGGAUCAAACAGGAUUAGAUACCCCAGUAGUC
rnacentral:rRNA from 1 species